GCCUAGAACAUGGAAGGUGUCGGAUCAAGGAAGGAAUCCGGGGGUAGGAGGUGGGCCGGGCCAAGCACAUAGUCUGGCUGGAGUUUCAGAGCAGGGGCCAGGCUCACAGACUCCGCACACCGCCGGGCUCUGGCCUAGAAUUGAGGCCACCUGCUCUGGCUGGACUGGAAGCCUUUCUCGGAGUGGCAGGUGGCAGGUGUGUGCGGCUCGCUCGGCAGGUGCUUGUGGCUGGCAGUGUCAACAGUGGCUCUGAGUCGCUGGCCACAACUGCAGGGAAGGCCUUCUGAGCCCUCCCCUCUCCGCGGUGACCACUUUGCACCGGAGGUCAGGAGAAGAGAGCCCGUCUCUUCUACAGUAGGUUGUCUAGAAUUAGCUUAUGGCCGUUACUUACUGAGCAUUUACUAUGCACCAGAUGCUGUGCGUAAGCCUCCACACAACCUUACGAGGGAGGGAUUUUCGUUGUCCCCGUAUUACAAAUGAGAGAAGUGAGGGUCCAAGAGAUAUUAGUUGCCUACCUUCAUGUGACCUGAAUCCUCUUUAUUUGAGCUCUGUACUGUGAACUACACCAGAAUAGUGGUGUAAUAUAAUCUUCCCAAUCUGUCACCUAUAAGCCAUCACACUAGUCACAGCAACCCUCUCCCUCCCCCACCUAUCAAACAGAAGAACCGGUAAGAAACGACACAGGGAAGGGACCAGUGUAGCCGUAAACCCAUCCUUGAGAUGAAGGUUUGCCCGGUGGUUGGAGGUACAGGGGCAAAGAUGGUCACCAUUGGCUUCAAGAUCCUAAUGAGAGAAGACAGCACCUAGUCUCAAAGCGUUCCCAUCAAAGUCCCAGGAUUGACCAUGACUCUCCGUGUACUUGAUCCAGUCACUGUGUAUCCAGGAGAAUGGAACUUGCCGCCAUCCGCCAGGCCUGGGACAUGUGCUCGCCUCUAAAGCUGCGCGGGCAGAAGAUCCCCCUCCUUCCAAACAAAGACCAUGAAGACUUCAACCUUUCGGAGGUAUUGCAUUUGGGGGCCUCACGUUGAGGGGGGCGAUUGUCAGAAGCUCACAAAUCAGAGGACUUGAGUCUGUCUUUGCCUUGAGCCUGAAAGAGAAGCAGGGAAAAGUCGGGACGCCCCCACAGCCUCGUAUGCCUCCCUUAUCUUUAGGGUCCAGAUUACAGCCAAAGACUUCCACCAGCUGAGUCACAGAGCUUGGGCCGGCCUGGAGCUGCCCGGAAACCACUAAGUUGAAGAGGUCAGGUCCCUACAGCUCAUUUGGAAUUCACAACUUCCCCCUCCCUCAUCCCCACCUCCCUGUCAUUUUUGUCCCGAACACCCUAAGUAAAGGGACAGAGCCGCCACACAGAACAAAACGCUCCUGGGCCCUGAGCCCUUCAGCUCUGACUGUACAUGAACACUUUUCCUCCCCCUAAUAAAGGAAAUGCAAGUAAUAAAAGCUCUUCAACUUGUCCAAGAAACACUCCGACAGCACUUCUGGCCGCGUUUGGGCUGGGCCUUUGUGACGUCACACCAGCAACCGGCCAAUGGGAAAGUGGUUCCGACUUUCUAAUCUGCAUAUUGCGGCGCGUGUGGUUCAAAUUUCAGGGCCGUCCGAGUGGUGGUGGUUUCUUUAAAUUCAAGGUUACCCGCGGCAGGCAGAGGACAAACUGUGCUUCUAGCCUUCCAGCCCGGCUGAGAUUUAAGGAUUGGGAUGGGGGUGGUCAGUCCCUUUUAGGAAAGAGGCCACGUGGAGGUUAUGAAGUCCAGGGGGGCGUGGAAGGAUAAAAUGUGGACAAUCCUAGCGGCAGGAGUUGGCUUGGUGACCCCAGCUUUCCUAUCUUGACCCCGCCAACCUCCCCCUGCAUUUCCCAAGUGAUUUAAUUAUCUGCCCUUUAUCUCAAACAUCGUCAGCCCUGAAAUUUGGGUGCGGAGAAGCCAGACAGACACAGGUUACUUGAAUUAUUUGGGUUGAUUUUUAUCUUGUAGUCUGGUAGUAGUUCGCGCAUGUGAAUUGAGCAUGCACACGUUUGCACCACAACUGCAUAAUUCCAGAUCAUCACAUUAACAAGGGGGAAGCAAUUGAGUACUUGCUGCUUUCUCUGAAGCUCAGUUUUCUGAGAAUGUCCUAUUAUUUUUUAGCUGUCUGGAGGCGGGCUUGUAAAAUGGAAGGAAUUUGUAGCAACCAGUGGUAAGAAAAAUGUAAGGAGAUGGUGAUAUUAAAAUAUAGUCAGAUUCCGCUUAACUAAGUUAGCAUUUGAUUUGGGUUUGGUGUUGGGGCGCCUGGGUAGCUCCGUCGGUUAAGGGAUCAGCU